AACGGAGGGGGCGAGCGUUAUUCAUCGUUAUUGGGCGUAAAGGGUAUGUAGGCGACUUAGUAUGUUUUAGUUGUAAAAAACCAAAUUUUUUGCGUGGUACAGACUAUAACAUGAAGUUAAGAAAACUACAAGGUUGGCAGAAUUACUAAUGUAGAGGUAAAAAUUCGGAAAAUAUUAGUAGGAAUACCAAAGGCGAAAGCAGCUUUCUUGUGUUUUUGACGCUGAUGUACUAAAGCAUGGGGAUCAAACAGG
rnacentral:rRNA from 1 species